rnacentral:lncRNA from 1 species
CCUAAUAAUAAAAGACUGCAAUAGCGCGCGACAGUCGUGCGAUGGGCAAAACGCGCGACGGCUCUCCGGCUGGGCGCUGUAUGCAUGGACGCCGUAUGCGCGUUCCGUUGACGGAAACGACUGUGCAUGCUGCACCUGCAUUCUAGUAGUUCGGAUUAAUCGGGAUAGGUUACAUAAUUACUGUGAGUGAGACUUGCGAUGAUUUUUUUUUUGUUUCUGUGCUAUUUUCCAGUCCUCCUCGCUGACACACAAAAAAUUGCCAUAUUUAAUUAUUAUAAAUUGUCAUUCCUUAUGCAUAAAAUUGCCACAUGAUUAACUAUUGUAAUUGCGGCGUUUAAUGGACACAAAUAACCAUGUUCAUACAUUUGGCCAAAUUUAAAGCACCACCACAUCUAGUUCUAACAUUUUCUCCACUCUUAAACGACCCACAAAACCGUUUCUUCAUGUCGCUCCUAAUAACGCAGAUUGCCGU